rnacentral:rRNA from 1 species
AGCAGUGGGGAAUAUUGAACAAUGGGCGAAAGCCUGAUCCAGCCAUGCCGCGUGGUGAAGAAGGCUUUUUGGUUGUAAAGCACUUUAAGCGAGGAGGAGGCUACUUAGAUUAAUACUCUAGGAUAGUGGACGUUACUCGCAGAAUAAGCACCGGCUAACUCUGUGCCAGCAGCCGCGGUAAUACAGAGGGUGCGAGCGUUAAUCGGAUUUACUGGGCGUAAAGCGUGCGUAGGCGGCUUCUUAAGUCGGAUGUGAAAUCCCUGAGCUUAACUUAGGAAUUGCAUUCGAUACUGGGAAGCUAGAGUAUGGGAGAGGAUGGUAGAAUUCCAGGUGUAGCGGUGAAAUGCGUAGAGAUCUGGAGGAAUACCGAUGGCGAAGGCAGCCAUCUGGCCUAAUACUGACGCUGAGGUACGAAAGCAUGGGGAGCAAACAGGAUUAGAUACCCUGGUAGUCCAUGCCGUAAACGAUGUCUACUAGCCGUUGGGGCCUUUGAGGCUUUAGUGGCGCAGCUAACGCGAUAAGUAGACCGCCUGGGGAGUACGGUCGCAAGACUAAAACUCAAAUGAAUUGACGGGGGCCCGCACAAGCGGUGGAGCAUGUGGUUUAAUUCGAUGCAACGCGAAGAACCUUACCUGGUCUUGACAUAGUAAGAACUUUCCAGAGAUGGAUUGGUGCCUUCGGGAACUUACAUACAGGUGCUGCAUGGCUGUCGUCAGCUCGUGUCGUGAGAUGUUGGGUUAAGUCCCGCAACGAGCGCAACCCUUUUCCUUAUUUGCCAGCGGGUUAAGCCGGGAACUUUAAGGAUACUGCCAGUGACAAACUGGAGGAAGGCGGGGACGACGUCAAGUCAUCAUGGCCCUUACGACCAGGGCUACACACGUGCUACAAUGGUCGGUACAAAGGGUUGCUACCUAGCGAUAGGAUGCUAAUCUCAAAAAGCCGAUCGUAGUCCGGAUUGGAGUCUGCAACUCGACUCCAUGAAGUCGGAAUCGCUAGUAAUCGCGGAUCAGAAUGCCGCGGUGAAUACGUUCCCGGGCCUUGUACACACCGCCCGUCACACCAUGGGAAUUUGUUGCACCAGAAGUAGGUAGUCUAACCGCAAGGAGGACGC